rnacentral:rRNA from 1 species
AAUAGAUACCCUGGUAGUCCACGCCCUAAACGAUGUACACUAGACCGAUGCGGCUCUGACGUCGUAUUGGUCGUAGAGAAAUUGAUAAGUGUACCGCCUGGGGAGUACGGUCGCAAGGCUAAAACUCAAAGAAAUUGACGGGGGCUCACACAAGCGGUGGAGCAUGUUGCUUAAUUCGAAGCAACGCGAAGAACCUUACCCGGGUUUGACAUGCAUGGAUUAGUUUCUGGAAACAGGAAUGACAGCCGCAAGGUUGGAACAUGCACAGGUGCUGCAUGGCUGUCGUCAGCUCGUGCUGUGAAGUGUUUGGUUAAGUCCAUUAACGAGCGCAACCCUUGUCGCUAGUUGCUAACAGGUAAUGCUGAGGGCUCUAGCGAGACUGCCGGCGUCAAGCCGGAGGAAGGUGGGGAUGACGUCAAGUCCUCAUGGCCCUUACAUCCGGGGUUGCAAACGUGCUACAAUGGCGCGUACAAAGCGACGCGAGGCCGCAAGGCGGAGCAAAUCGCAAAAAACGCGCCCCU